rnacentral:lncRNA from 1 species
CUCAGCCCGCCGGAGCUCCGCCUAGCCCUCUAGGCCCUUGCAUGCCCCAACCGAACUCGGAUCUACCCUUUCUUGGCCUUAAACCGCAGCGGACAGCAGCAACCAAAAAUGGGUAUGGCAGCAGCUUCGUGGCCCGUUUUGGCCGGCUUCCCGACCCCGGAAGCUAGGCCCGCCUUGGAGUGAAUCGAUCCCCUCGGCGUCCCAGUCGAUUUGAGCCGCUCGGAUCGCUAAUCGAGUGAGUUUAACUCACUAAUCCUCGCUUAGUAGGUUAAUCACGUUUAAGGGGUGUUUAGAUUAAACUAAGUAGGUUUAGGUGGUUAGAUUAGUUUAUUUAAAUGUUAAGUGGAUUAAGGGAUGUGAUUAGUUUAGUGGCCAAUUAAUUAAAGUUAAGAAAAUGUUUGGAUUAAAGUAAUCUUGUUUAAGCCUUAAUUAAUUAUUUUAAAUUAAAUAAUUAAUUCGAAAUUGUACUAUUAUAAUAAUAUAAUAUAAUAUUAUUAUAUUUAAUUUUCGGAAUAAAUUUAAUUAUUUAUUAUUUUCCGGAAAUUUUGACCGGGAUAGUCGGUGACCGGAAUUUUAUGCUGAUGAUCGUGGUGAAGUCUGUUUGCUUAAUUGAGCUCUGAUUUGAGCUAAAUUGAAUUUAUUGUAAUUAAUUAUCAAUUUUCGAAAUUUAAUUAAUUAAUUAAUUAAAAUUCGGAAAUUAAGAUUUAGAAGGCCGACGAUCGAAAUUCCGUGCUGAUUAUCGUAGUGCAGUCCGUUUAUUUAUUUGAGCGUUAAUUUGUGCUGAAUCGAAUUAAUUGUGAAUUUAAGAUUUAUUCCUAAAUUAUCUGAUUUUGGUUUAUUGAUGGAGAAAUAACCGGGCGUCGGUUUACAGCGCCAAAAAUAUGUAAUUGACUGAUGAAAUUGGUGGGAUAUUUUUAAGUAAAAUUAUUAUAUUUUGGCUAAGGCCAACCGUGAACCCACACACGACUAUUUAUCGUGAAUGAUAAAAAGAAUGAAUUGACUAUAUGGUUGGAGUGGUAUACUAUAUCGGCCUUCGGGCGAUAUGUCAGCUUUGGGUGAGCAGUAUACCUUAUUAUCAGCUUUGGACGAGCAUAUAUAGUAUACUAAAUUGGCCUGGGGGCCCUAAUAUAUCAGCUUUGGGCGAGCAUAUACAUAGUAUAUUAUAUUUAUCAGUUUUGGGCGAGCUAUGCUAUCUAUUAUCAACUUUGGGUGAGCAGUCCUAGACUAUGGUCGGACUUUAUAGAUAGUAUUGAAUGUACCGACCAGGGAAAGGUUGUGGUGACAUGUAAUCGAUUAAGUCGAUUGAUCGCUGAGUCGAUCUGAUUGGUGGAAUGUAAUUGUUUGCUAUAGUUAUCGAUAUUAUUAAUUGAACUAAAGUGCAGGAAAUGAACUGAUGCCAAGGUAAGCCCUUUGACCUGUGUUGUGCUUAGGCAGCCCUUAUGGCGUAUUGGCUUCCUAAUAAGGUCUUAGUGGGGUAGAACUUGCUGAGACAUAGUCUCAUCCCGGUUUGGGGAAAACAUUUCAGGUUCCUAGAUGAUGAUCGUGGAGGACCGGAAGUCCUAAAGUUCAGAAGGUGGAGGUUGAAGAAUCGGCAAAUGGGUCUGACUAGUGGAUGUUAAGACAGUUCCUUUUUGUUAAGCCGUAAUUUUGUAAACAGCCUAAGUUUGUAAUUAACCAGUUGGUCUAUAAAGACUCGUCUUGGUUUGAAAAAUAUGAU